UGAGUACGAGCUGCUACGGCAGCGAAGUGGGUGAUGUCAAGCUUCCAAGAAAAGCCCUAUACCCGUUAAGGCAUGAUGGCCUGUACCCGAAACCGACACAGGUGGGGUGGUAGAGAAUACCGAGGGGCGCGAGAUAACUCUCUCUAAGGAACUCGGCAAAAUGGCCCCGUAACUUCGGGAGAAGGGGUGCCACCGCAAGGUGGUCGCAGUGAAGAGGCCCAGGCGACUGUUUACCAAAAACACAGGUCUCCGCUAAGUCGCAAGACGAUGUAUGGGGGCUGACGCCUGCCCAGUGCCGGAAGGUUAAGGAAGCUGGUCAGCGUAAGCGAAGCUAGCGACUGAAGCCCCGGUGAACGGCGGCCGUAACGAUAACGGUCCUAAGGUAGCGAAAUUCCUUGUCGGGUAAGUUCCGACCCGCACGAAAGGCGUAACGAUCUGGGCGCUGUCUCGGAGAGAGGCUCGGCGAAAUAGAAUUGUCUGUGAAGAUGCGGACUACGUGCACCCGGACAGAAAGACCCUAUGAAGCUUUACUGUAGCUUGGUAUUGUGCUCGGGCUCGGAAUGCGCAGGAUAGGUGGGAGGCUAUGAACCAUUGCUUGUGGGUGAUGGUGAGCCACUGGUGAGAUACCACUCUUUCCGAGCUAGAGUUCUAACAGCCACCCGUUAUCCGGGGGCUGGACAGUAUCAGGUGGGCAGUUUGACUGGGGCGGUCGCCUCCUAAAAGGUAACGGAGGCGCGCAAAGGUUUGCUCAGGCUGGUUGGAAAUCAGCCGACGAGUGUAAAAGCAGAAGCAAGCUUGACUGUGAGACCUACAAGUCGAACAGGGAGGAAACUCGGCUUUAGUGAUCCGACGGUUCUGCGUGGAAGGGCCGUCGCUCAACGGAUAAAAGUUACUCUAAGGAUAACAGGCUGAUCUCCCCCAAGAGUUCACAUCGACGGGGAGGUUUGGCACCUCGAUGUCGGCUCAUCGCAACCUGGGGCUGAAGUCGGUCCCAAGGGUUGGGCUGUUCGCCCAUUAAAGCGGUACGCGAGCUGGGUUCAGAACGUCGUGAGACAGUUCGGUCCAUAUCCGGUGCAUGCGCAGGAAUAUUGAGAGGAUUUCUCCCUAGUACGAGAGGACCGGGAGGAACGCACCUCUGGUGUACCAGUUAUCGUGCCAACGGUAAACGCUGGGUAGCCAUGUGCGGAGAGGAUAACCGCUGAAAGCAUCUAAGUGGGAAGCCCACCUCAAGAUGAGUAUUCCCAUGGGGUAACCCAGUAAGGUCACGGGAAGAACACCCGUUGAUAGGCUCUACGUGGAAGCGCAGUAAUGUGUGAAGCGGAGGAGUACUAAUAGACCGAGGGCUUGAC
rnacentral:rRNA from 1 species